ACCUCAUCUAUAACAAACAAAAGAAAAAACCCUAAUCGCUGUCUAUACCUCACUCUCAGUCUCAUCUCAUCUCAUCUCAUCAUUGUCUCUCUCACUCUCUCGUUUCGUUGUUCAUCUUCAUCUUCUGCACCGAUCGGCGAUCACUCUCAUCUCAUCACUGUCUCUCUCACUCUCUCUUUGUUCAUAUCAUCGCACCGAUCGUCUCACUCUCUCAUCGCACCGAUCUAUUCACGGGGCUGUUGAUCACCAAUAUGAGGGUAAUAUCUUUGCCACAGAUGGAGCUCAAGUAGAUAUAUGGGAUCAUAAUAGGUCCCAGCCUGUGAAUAGCUUUGAGUGGGGAAAAGACAUAGUUAUAUCUGUUCGAUUUAAUUCUAGGAAACCAAAUAUCUUGGCCACAUCAGCUAGAUUCUUGGAGGUAUCUGGGAAAAUAAAAUUAGUGGGAAACUAGUAUUGGGUUUUGGAGUGAUCUGGUCGUCAGCUACAACAGUUUUGACACCUAUUGCUGCCAGAGUUGGGCUUCCUUUCUUGAUUGUCAUGUGUGCCUUUAUGGGGAUU